rnacentral:rRNA from 1 species
AUAAACGCUGGCGGCGUGGAUAAGGCAUGCAAGUCGGACGAUUUCCUUUUUUGAAGAAGAUGCGAUUACAUCAAGUCAACUGAUAUUUUGGAGAUAGUGGCGAACGAGCUAGUAACACCUUGGUACGUACCCAAAAGUUUGGUAUAGCUCGCCGAAAGGCGGGGUAAUCCCAAAUAAUCCCUCUAUCUAUCGGAUAGAAGGGUAAAGUCGCAAGACGCUUUUGGAGCGGCCUAGGACCGAUCAGUUAGUUGGUGAGGUAAUGGCUCACCAAGACGAUGACCGGUAGGGG